rnacentral:rRNA from 1 species
UACGGGGGGGGCAAGCGUUGUUCGGAAUUACUGGGCGUAAAGGGUUCGUAGGUGGCUUGUUAAGUCAGACGUGAAAUCCCUCGGCUCAACCGGGGAACUGCGUCUGAGACUGAUGAGCUCGAGUGCAGGAGAGGAACGCGGAAUUCCAGGUGUAGCGGUGAAAUGCGUAGAUAUCUGGAGGAACACCGGUGGCGAAGGCGGCGUUCUGGACUGCAACUGACACUGAGGAACGAAAGCCAGGGGGAGCAAACGGG